UACGUAGGGGGCAAGCGUUGUCCGGAUUUAUUGGGCGUAAAGAGCGUGUAGGCGGCCAUACAGGUCAGCUGUGAAAACUCGAGGCUCAACCUCGAGACGUCGGUUGAAACCGUAUGGCUAGAGUCCGGAAGAGGAGAGUGGAAUUCCUGGUGUAGCGGUGAAAUGCGCAGAUAUCAGGAAGAACACCGGUGGCGAAGGCGACAUCCUGGACCGGUAUUGACGCUGAGGCGCGAAAGCCAGGGGAGCAAACGGG
rnacentral:rRNA from 1 species